rnacentral:rRNA from 1 species
CCAGCUGGCUGGUUCCAUGAGGUGACUUCUGCCCAGUGCUCUGAUUGUCAAUGCGAAGAGAUUCAGCCAAGCGCGGGUAAACGGCGGGAGUAACUAUGACUCUCUUAAGGUAGCCAAAUGCCUCGUCAACCAAUUAUUGACGCGCAUGAAUGGAUCAACGAGAUUCCUGCUGUCCCUAGUUGCUGUCUGGUGAACCAACAGCCAAGGGAACGGGCUUGGAUGUGUCAGCGGGGAAAGAAGACCCUGUUGAGUUUGACUCUAGUUUGAUGCUGUGCAACGACAUGUUGGGUGUAGCAUAGGUGGGAGGCAAGUGCCAUUGCCACAGUGGAGUUGUGAGAGACCAAGUGCCUUGGUGCAAGCCAGCAGUGAAAUACCACUACCUUCACCGUCGUAGUGCUCAUUGAGUGAUCUGGGAACGGCAGCCCUUAGACAUCAGCCUGUCCCUUGCGGAUGGGUUGUGGCCCAUCCCCGCUUCGUGCGCAAAGUGAAGUACUCUGUGCUUCGCGACCCUGGAUGCUGCAGUCCAAUCAGAAGCCUCAAGACACUGAUCAGUUGGGGAGUUUGGCUGGGGCGGCACGCCUGUUACAUCACAACGCAGGCGUCCUGAAGCAAUGCUCAGAUGGAACAGAAAUCUCCCAUGGAGGAGCAGGCCAAAGGUGCUGCUGAUGCUGCUGCUCUCAGUACGAGCACAAAACGUGCAAGCGUGGCCUUGCGAUCCUUUGGUUAAGUGCACGAGUUCAGGAUACUGAAGCCAGAGGUGUCAGAAAAAUUACCACAGGGAUAACUGGCUUGUGGCAGCCAAGCGUUCAAAGCGACGUUGCUUUUUGAUCCUUCGAUGUCGGCUCUUCCUAGCUUCCCACCCGCAGCCGA